AAUCAACGCUGGCGGCGUGCCUAACACAUGCAAGUCGAACGCGAGAGGGGCUUCGGCCCCGAUUGAGUGGCGAACGGGUGAGUAACACGUGGGUGACCUACCUUCGAGUGGGGGAUAACGUCCCGAAAGGGACGCGUAAUACCGCAUAACAUUCCGCUUUUGAACAAGUGGAAAUCAAAGCCGGGGAUCGUAAGACCUGGCGCUUGAAGAGGGGCCCGCGUCCGACUAGCUAGUUGGUGAGGUAACGGCNCACCAAGGCGCGAUCGGUAGCCGGCCUGAGAGGGCGGACGGCCACACUGGGACUGAGACACGGCCCAGACUCC
rnacentral:rRNA from 1 species